GUCUAACACAUGGCAUUCUAGCGGGGAAAAGCAGCUUGCUACUUAACCUAGCGGCGGACGGGUGAGUAAUGCUUAGGAAUCUGCCUAUUAGUGGGGGACAACAUCUCGAAAGGGAUGCUAAUACCGCAUACGUCCUACGGGAGAAAGCAGGGGACCUUCGGGCCUUGCGCUAAUAGAUGAGCCUAAGUCGGAUUAGCUAGUUGGUGGGGUAAAGGCCUACCAAGGCGACGAUCUGUAGCGGGUCUGAGAGGAUGAUCCGCCACACUGGGACUGAGACACGGCCCAGACUCCUACGGGAGGCAGCAGUGGGGAAUAUUGGACAAUGGGGGGAACCCUGUCCAGCCUGCCGCGUGUGUGAAGAAGGCCUUUUGGUGUAAAGCACUUUAAGCGAGGAGGAGGCUACCGAGAUUAAUACUCUUGGAUAGUGGACGUACUCGCAGAAUAAGCACCGGCUAGACUCUGUGCCAGCAGCCGCGGUAAUAC
rnacentral:rRNA from 1 species